rnacentral:tRNA from 1 species
GAGGGUCUAGCUCAGUGGUAGAGCUUGUGCCUAGCAUGUACAAGGUCCUGGGUUCAAUCCCCAGUACUUCCA